ACGGGAGGCAGCAGUGGGGAAUUUUGGACAAUGGGGGCAACCCUGAUCCAGCAAUGCCGCGUGAGUGAAGAAGGCCUUCGGGUUGUAAAGCUCUUUUGUCAGGGAAGAAAAGGUCGUGGCUAAUAUCCACGACUGCUGACGGUACCUGAAGAAUAAGCACCGGCUAACUACGUGCCAGCAGCCGCGGUAAUACGUAGGGUGCAAGCGUUAAUCGGAAUUACUGGGCGUAAAGCGUGCGCAGGCGGUUUCGUAAGUCUGUCGUGAAAUCCCCGGGCUUAACCUGGGAAUGGCGAUGGAGACUGCGAGGCUAGAGUUUGGCAGAGGGGGGUAGAAUUCCACGUGUAGCAGUGAAAUGCGUAGAGAUGUGGAGGAACACCGAUGGCGAAGGCAGCCCCCUGGGUCAAAACUGACGCUCAUGCACGAAAGCGUGGGGAGCAAACAGGAUUAGAUACCCUGGUA
rnacentral:rRNA from 1 species